CUACACAUAGUCUAUAUAUCUAUAUAUUGUUCUACACCAACUACACACACAUUUCCUAUCACGUAUGUCUAUGAAAGACGAUCGAACCAAUCAGAGUAGGCAUGGGGCGGGGCUACACUUGAAGCCUCGAUCUGCAGCCGAGUCCACGUCAGCAGCUGCAGAUGUAGAUUCAAAGUAUAUUUUUGCUAAUCACUUGUGAAAACACUCCAACACUCACUUGUGAUUUGCACCCUUUAUUUGCAAUAAAAAAUAAAUAGAUAAAAAAAAAACACAGGCUCGAAAGUUAACAUUGCAGAGCGCAGGGCUGCGGGUGGAUUACAGGCUAUUAUAGAGCAUUUCCUGGAAUGUUGAAGAAGAAAACUGCAAACACACCAAUAAAGCAACAGCGUGGAAGCCAUUUACAAUUAAUAUGUGUCUUUUGAACAAAAUCACUGAAACCUCACCCUCUCCUUCCGAUGAACUGGAGUUACUCCAGACAGGACUGGGAAAGCGUACCAUCACAGUUUCGUCGAACAUGAACCAUUCUGAAUCCAGAUGAUGUACUGAAGCGUCUCGCCCAGACUUCUUUCAAAGAGCUAUGGUACAGUGGCAGCGGCUAAAGAAAGGGACCCCUGGCAACACUUUGCGUGUAACAUUUUUGGGGGAAGCAGGUGUUGAUUCAGGUGCCAUUAGAAAGGAAUUUCUUACAGGCAAGUCAGUUUCUCUAUUAUUAAUUUUGUAUUCAUGAAACUGUUUUAUAAAUUAGAA